rnacentral:rRNA from 1 species
UACGAAGGGGGCUAGCGUUGUCCGGAAUCAUUGGGCGUAAAGCGCGUGUAGGCGGCUCGAUAAGUCUGCUGUGAAAGUUCAGGGCUCAACCCUGAAAUGCCGGUGGAAACUGUCGGGCUAGAGUCCGGAAGAGGCGAGUGGAAUUCCUGGUGUAGCGGUGAAAUGCGCAGAUAUCAGGAGGAACACCAAUGGCGAAGGCAGCUCGCUGGGACGGUACUGACGCUGAGACGCGAAAGCGUGGGGAGCAAACAGG